rnacentral:rRNA from 1 species
CGGCGACACCGCGUCUGGUCCUCGAGCGUAUGGGGCUUUGUCACCCGCUCCCAGGCCCAGCCGGUGCCCGCCGACCCUCAACCAUUUAUUCUCCAGGUUGACCUCGGAUCAGGUAGGGAUACCCGCUGAACUUAAGCAUAUCAAUAAGCGGAGGAAAAGAAACCAMCCGGGAUUGCCCCAGUAACGGCGAGUGAAGCGGCAAGAGCUCAAAUUUGAAAGCUGGCCCCCUCGGGGUCCGCGUUGUAAUUUGCAGAGGAUGCUUCGGGAGCGGCCCCCGUCUAAGUGCCCUGGAACGGGCCGUCAUAGAGGGUGAGAAUCCCGUCUGGGACGGGGUGCCCGCGCCCGUGUGAAGCUCCCUCGACGAGUCGAGUUGUUUGGGAAUGCAGCUCUAAAUGGGUGGUAAAUUUCAUCUAAAGCUAAAUAUUGGCCGGAGACCGAUAGCGCACAAGUAGAGUGAUCGAAAGAUGAAAAGCACUUUGAAAAGAGAGUUAAACAGCACGUGAAAUUGUUGAAAGGGAAGCGCUUGCGACCAGACUCGCCCACGGGGUUCAGCCGGCACUCGUGCCGGUGUACUUCCCCGCGGGCGGGCCAGCGUCGGUUUGGGCGGCCGGUCAAAGGCCUCCGGAAUGUAUCGCCUCUCGGGGCGUCUUAUAGCCGGGGGUKCAAUGCGGCCUGCCUGG